UUGAUGUGGGGGAGACAUGUGUUUUGGGGAAAGCUCAGAACAGGAUACAGAAACCUUGCUUCUCAAUCCUGGCAUACUGACUGGGCAUUCCAGUCUGCUGCAGUCCUGAUUUCCCAUCUUGGUUUCUUCACCUGUGAGACAGAUAAGUUUUAGCCCUAAGAAGACAACACUUGGUUUUUCUCAAGAUCAUCACUGUCUUUCAUCUUCAAAUCUUUUUCCUAUCUGCACUGAGUCAGAGUCAUCAAGACCGACCUCCUAGGAGACAGUCAUUUGCCUUGGCACCUGUAAUUGUCUACUUUGAACUCCCGAGCCUUUCAAAUAGAGCUUAAACCACUUCUUUAGCAAAAGGUGUGGCACCCUCAAAAAACUGCAAAUCG
rnacentral:lncRNA from 1 species